UCAGGGCCAAUCCCCUUCCUUUAGGACACAUGAGUGGAGGUGAGAUGUCUGCUGCGCUUUCCCGAGCUGAGGGUGUGGUCAGCAGGCACAAAAGGAAAAUUAGUCCAUUAAAGCAGCAGCCAAACCCAGCACAAGCCGGGAUUAGUGAAGCUCCUGACAUUUAAAAAUUUAAGAUUUCAAACUUUGUUUCCUGUGAAUAAGCAAAGUCAGUGAGCGAAUUAAGUUUGUGUGUGCACGUGUGUGCAUGUGUGUGUCUGCUUGAACAAACAGCGAAUAGCUGGAUUUAAACCAACCUUAAGACUUGCACCACAGCUAAAUUCCACAUUGCUAGAUGGGGACCGGAGCUGAGUGGUGGCCGAUCGCUCAUCUGGGCGUGUCCUGUGAGGACUGUGUUGCUGUCACGGUCAUUCCACUGUACAGUGUCAGUGUGGUUGGUGUAUGCUGGAUCUCUCACCUAUGAAAUCUUUGCUUUUGUGGGUUGUUUGGGCUUGGAUGCUUGUAACAUCUCUGUGGCAUCACAUGGGCCGGCCAGUAACUGCCCUCCUUGACCCCCGAGCAGUCCAUGAACAUCCUGACCUCCGUGCUGCUGCUGUACGCCAAGGAGGAGGAAGCCUUCUGGCUGUUGGUUGCUGUGUGUGAGCGGAUGCUGCCCGAUUACUUCAACCACCGAGUGAUCGGGGCACAAGUUGACCAGUCUGUCUUCGAGGAGCUCAUCAAGGGUCAUCUCCCAGAGCUAGCAGAGCACAUGAACGACCUCUCAGCCCUGGCGUCCGUCUCUCUCUCGUGGUUCCUGACCCUGUUCCUCAGCAUCAUGCCUCUAGAGAGUGCGGUGAAUGUGGUAGACUGCUUCUUCUACGAUGGCAUCAAAGCCAUCUUCCAGCUGGGACUGGCUGUGCUUGAGGCCAAUGCUGAGGACCUGUGCAGCAGCAAGGAUGAUGGCCAGGCCUUGAUGAUCCUCAGCAGGUUUCUAGAUCACAUUAAGAAUGAGGACAGCCCAGGGCCCCCAGUUGGCAGCCACCAUGCCUUUUUCUCCGACGACCAGGAGCCCUACCCUGUGACUGAUAUUUCGGACCUGAUCCGGGAUUCCUAUGAG
rnacentral:sRNA from 1 species